GGUUAAGCGACUAAGCGUACACGGUGGAUGCCCUGGCAGUCAGAGGCGAUGAAGGACGUGCUAAUCUGCGAUAAGCGCCGGUAAGGUGAUAUGAACCGUUAUAACCGGCGAUUUCCGAAUGGGGAAACCCAGUGUGAUUCGUCACACUAUCAUUAACUGAAUCCAUAGGUUAAUGAGGCGAACCGGGGGAACUGAAACAUCUAAGUACCCCGAGGAAAAGAAAUCAACCGAGAUUCCCCCAGUAGCGGCGAGCGAACGGGGAGGAGCCCAGAGCCUGAAUCAGCAUGUGUGUUAGUGGAAGCGUCUGGAAAGGCGCGCGAUACAGGGUGACAGCCCCGUACACAAAAGCGCAUGUGCUGUGAGCUCGAUGAGUAGGGCGGGACACGUGGUAUCCUGUCUGAAUAUGGGGGGACCAUCCUCCAAGGCUAAAUACUCCUGACUGACCGAUAGUGAACCAGUACCGUGAGGGAAAGGCGAAAAGAACCCCGGCGAGGGGAGUGAAAAAGAACCUGAAACCGUGUACGUACAAGCAGUGGGAGCACAGGUUUACCUGUGUGACUGCGUACCUUUUGUAUAAUGGGUCAGCGACUUAUAUUCUGUAGCAAGGUUAACCGUAUAGGGGAGCCGUAGGGAAACCGAGUCUUAACCGGGCGUUAAGUUGCAGGGUAUAGACCCGAAACCCGGUGAUCUAGCCAUGGGCAGGUUGAAGGUUGGGUAACACUAACUGGAGGACCGAACCGACUAAUGUUGAAAAAUUAGCGGAUGACCUGUGGCUGGGGGUGAAAGGCCAAUCAAACCGGGAGAUAGCUGGUUCUCCCCGAAAGCUAUUUAGGUAGCGCCUCGUGAAUUCAUCUCCGGGGGUAGAGCACUGUUUCGGCUAGGGGGCCAUCCCGGCUUACCAACCCGAUGCAAACUGCGAAUACCGGAGAAUGUUAUCACGGGAGACACACGGCGGGUGCUAACGUCCGUCGUGAAGAGGGAAACAACCCAGACCGCCAGCUAAGGUCCCAAAGUCAUGGUUAAGUGGGAAACGAUGUGGGAAGGCCCAGACAGCCAGGAUGUUGGCUUAGAAGCAGCCAUCAUUUAAAGAAAGCGUAAUAGCUCACUGGUCGAGUCGGCCUGCGCGGAAGAUGUAACGGGGCUAAACCAUGCACCGAAGCUGCGGCAGCGAACGUAUCACCCAAGACAACUUUGCGGAGUUGACGAUUGACGGAGCGAAGCGACGUCAAAGCGUUCAUUAAAGUCGAGUUGGCUUAGGGAUACGUUCGUUGGGUAGGGGAGCGUUCUGUAAGCCUGUGAAGGUGGCCUGUGAGGGUUGCUGGAGGUAUCAGAAGUGCGAAUGCUGACAUAAGUAACGAUAAAGCGGGUGAAAAGCCCGCUCGCCGGAAGACCAAGGGUUCCUGUCCAACGUUAAUCGGGGCAGGGUGAGUCGACCCCUAAGGCGAGGCCGAAAGGCGUAGUCGAUGGGAAACGGGUUAAUAUUCCCGUACUUGGUGUUACUGCGAAGGGGGGACGGAGAAGGCUAUGUUGGCCGGGCGACGGUUGUCCCGGUUUAAGCGUGUAGGUGUGUGUUCCAGGUAAAUCCGGUUCACUUUAACACUGAGGCGUGAUGACGAAGCACUACGGUGCUGAAGCAACAAAUGCCCUGCUUCCAGGAAAAGCCUCUAAGCAUCAGGUAACAUCAAAUCGUACCCCAAACCGACACAGGUGGUCAGGUAGAGAAUACCAAGGCGCUUGAGAGAACUCGGGUGAAGGAACUAGGCAAAAUGGUGCCGUAACUUCGGGAGAAGGCACGCUGACACGUAGGUGAAGUGAUUUACUCACGGAGCUGAAGUCAGUCGAAGAUACCAGCUGGCUGCAACUGUUUAUUAAAAACACAGCACUGUGCAAACACGAAAGUGGACGUAUACGGUGUGACGCCUGCCCGGUGCCGGAAGGUUAAUUGAUGGGGUCAGCGCAAGCGAAGCUCCUGAUCGAAGCCCCGGUAAACGGCGGCCGUAACUAUAACGGUCCUAAGGUAGCGAAAUUCCUUGUCGGGUAAGUUCCGACCUGCACGAAUGGCGUAAUGAUGGCCAGGCUGUCUCCACCCGAGACUCAGUGAAAUUGAACUCGCUGUGAAGAUGCAGUGUACCCGCGGCAAGACGGAAAGACCCCGUGAACCUUUACUAUAGCUUGACACUGAACAUUGAGCCUUGAUGUGUAGGAUAGGUGGGAGGCUUUGAAGUGUGGACGCCAGUCUGCAUGGAGCCGACCUUGAAAUACCACCCUUUAAUGUUUGAUGUUCUAACGUGGACCCGUAAUCCGGGUUGCGGACAGUGUCUGGUGGGUAGUUUGACUGGGGCGGUCUCCUCCUAAAGAGUAACGGAGGAGCACGAAGGUUGGCUAAUCCUGGUCGGACAUCAGGAGGUUAGUGCAAUGGCAUAAGCCAGCUUGACUGCGAGCGUGACGGCGCGAGCAGGUGCGAAAGCAGGUCAUAGUGAUCCGGUGGUUCUGAAUGGAAGGGCCAUCGCUCAACGGAUAAAAGGUACUCCGGGGAUAACAGGCUGAUACCGCCCAAGAGUUCAUAUCGACGGCGGUGUUUGGCACCUCGAUGUCGGCUCAUCACAUCCUGGGGCUGAAGUAGGUCCCAAGGGUAUGGCUGUUCGCCAUUUAAAGUGGUACGCGAGCUGGGUUUAGAACGUCGUGAGACAGUUCGGUCCCUAUCUGCCGUGGGCGCUGGAGAACUGAGGGGGGCUGCUCCUAGUACGAGAGGACCGGAGUGGACGCAUCACUGGUGUUCGGGUUGUCAUGCCAAUGGCACUGCCCGGUAGCUAAAUGCGGAAGAGAUAAGUGCUGAAAGCAUCUAAGCACGAAACUUGCCCCGAGAUGAGUUCUCCCUGAGACUUAGAGUCUCCUGAAGGAACGUUGAAGACGACGACGUUGAUAGGCCGGGUGUGUAAGCGCAGCGAUGCGUUGAGCUAACCGGUACUAAUGAACCGUGAGGCUUAACCUU
rnacentral:rRNA from 1 species